rnacentral:rRNA from 1 species
AACGAACUCUGGCGGCAUGCCUAACACAUGCAAGUCGAACGAGACCUUCGGGUCUAGUGGCGCACGGGUGCGUAACGCGUGGGAACCUGCCUUUAGGUUCGGAAUAACUCAGAGAAAUUUGAGCUAAUACCGGAUGAUGUCUUCGGACCAAAGAUUUAUCGCCUUUAGAUGGGCCCGCGUUGGAUUAGCUAGUUGGUGGGGUAAAGGCCUACCAAGGCGACGAUCCAUAGCUGGUCUGAGAGGAUGAUCAGCCACACUGGGACUGAGACACGGCCCAGACUCCUACGGGAGGCAGCAGUGGGGAAUAUUGGACAAUGGGCGAAAGCCUGAUCCAGCAAUGCCGCGUGAGUGAUGAAGGCCUUAGGGUUGUAAAGCUCUUUUACCCGAGAUGAUAAUGACAGUAUCGGGAGAAUAAGCUCCGGCUAACUCCGUG